UACGUAGGGGGCAAGCGUUGUCCGGAUUUAUUGGGUCGUAAAGAGCGUGUAGGCGGCUUUACAGGUCCGUUGUGAAAACUCGAGGCUCAACCUCGAGACGCCGGUGGAAACCGUAAAGCUAGAGUCCGGAAGAGGAGAGUGGAAUUCCUGGUGUAGCGGUGAAAUGCGCAGAUAUCAGGAGGAACACCCGUGGCGAAGGCAAUCCCCUGGGCCUGCACUGACGCUCAUGCACGAAAGCGUGGGGAGCAAACAGG
rnacentral:rRNA from 1 species